rnacentral:rRNA from 1 species
UACGUAGGGCGCAAGCGUUGUCCGGAAUUAUUGGGCGUAAAGAGCUCGUAGGCGGUUUGUUACGUCCGCUGUGAAAACCCAGGGCUUAACCCUGGGCUUGCAGUGGAUACGGGCAGACUAGAGUGCGGUAGGGGUGACUGGAAUUCCUGGUGUAGCGGUGGAAUGCGCAGAUAUCAGGAGGAACACCGAUGGCGAAGGCAGGUCACUGGGCCGCAACUGACGCUGAGGAGCGAAAGCAUGGGGAGCGAACAGG